UGUGGACUGUCAUCACUCCAUAAACAUACAUACUCUAUGCCUGGCCGACUUCCUAGACCUGUAUAUCGAUUGCUGUAAACCAAAGAUGUAUUGGUCCUGGUUCUGUAAAUGUCUUGGGCGUGCGCGGAGGUUAAAGAAAGGGAUGUGAUGUUGAGCAGACGAAGAUGACAGUGGUAUAUGUGUAAAUAAGAAAUGGACAGUUAGUACGAUUCGAAUCAUUUGUGUUGUGAAAAAGAGACCUUAGAUUGAAAGGUCCGGUGUUAUUUACGUCAAAAUAAUCACUGUGUAUACAUUAGCAGAUACAACUUCUUCAAGAAACUUUUGUUUGCUGCAGUAUAAUGUUCCCCUGCUUGUUUGUUUUUGAAACAGUUUUUGAUAGUAAUUUGUCGUGGUUCCCAAGUUUCGGUCUAGUUUGAACUAAGUUAAUCCAUGAUCCCCCAUUAUUUAAGUAUUUUACGCCGUAGACGAUUUUAAUAACUGCAUGUAUGGAAGUGUCAGCAAUUUUUAAUGACCAGCCAGAGGCUGAAGAACUCACCACAGGGAUUUUUGGUGAUUUGGGUGAAGAACCAUGGUUGAAUGUCACAGGAGGGGAUUCAGAUAUGAACAUGUUUUUUCACAGGGUUGGUUCAGAUCAGAUUAUAUAUCAAAGAAGGAAGAAGAAAUGUAAAAUAAUUGGAAAAUAUGUGAUGGGAGAUUUGCUAGGUGAAGGCAGUUACAGCAAAGUAAAAGAGCUUUUAGACACAGUUUCUCUCUGUAGAAGAGCAGUAAAAAUAUUGAAGAAGAAGAAACUGAGGAGAAUCCCAAAUGGGGAACAGAAUGUUCAGAGGGAGAUUCAACUGCUGAAAACACUACAACACAAGAAUGUAAUACAUUUGGUGGAGGUGCUGUACAAUGAUGAAAAACAGAAAAUGUAUAUGGUAUUGGAAUAUUGUGUGGGAGGACUACAAGAUAUGCUUGAAAGUGCACCUAAAAAGAAGUUCCCACUUUGGCAAGCACAUGGGUACUUUAGUCAACUUAUUGAUGGCUUGGAGUAUCUUCAUAGCAAAGGAAUUGUUCACAAGGACAUAAAACCAGGAAAUUUGCUUCUGACACUUGACGAAACACUGAAGAUAUCAGAUCUUGGAGUUGCGGAGUCAUUACAUCCAUUUGCAAGGGAUGACACUUGUUCAACAAAUCAAGGCUCUCCUGCAUUCCAGCCACCCGAAAUAGCAAAUGGUCAUGAGAGAUUUGCUGGGUUCAAGGUUGAUAUUUGGAGCAGUGGAGUUACUUUGUAUAACAUCACUACUGGCCAGUACCCCUUUGAAGGUGACAACAUUUACAGGUUGUUUGAAAACAUUGGAAAUGGGAAGUUUUCAAUACCAAAUGAACUUGACAAUCUCCUCACAGAUUUGCUUAGAGGGAUGUUGGAAAAAGAUCCAGAAAAGAGGCUCUCUCUACAACAAAUACGACAACAUCCGUGGUUCUUACACAAACCAGAUCGAACUACAGAGUAUGUUCCUGUGCCUCCUCUACGUGGAGAUGAUUAUCAUAUGAUGACAGUUUUGCCAUAUCUUAUGGAGUUCCAUUAUGGGGAAGAAAUUUCUGGCACUGAAAAUCAUGUUGAUUAUAUUACAGAGCACCAACUUAAUGAAACGCGUGGCCCAGCCGACGGACAGCAGUCAGCGCGGGUAUGGGACCAACACAAGUUAACGCACGGAUCCGGCUCCAGCCCAGCAGCUGAUACACACACACAAGCCCAGCCCGCACCGCAGCCAGCUUCUACGUCACGAUGUGCGCACCAUUCAAACGGCGCUCGCAACCAAACCCUCUCUUUCACACGUAAACGCAGUUCGUCGUGUCACUCAUGGGAGAGGAACGAAAGCAGCAGCAGCAGCAGCAAGAGACACAAGGACAGUUGAGACUGAAUGCAUCAGACUCUCAUCCACAUGCUGGUAGCGGUGGAAGUAAACGGCGCUGGAGACGACCAAUCUCGUGUAUUAGUGUAAAAAAAUUUCCCACUUGUAAGCAGUCGUAGCACCUCUUCUAUUCACUGGUGGCUCCCUUUAUACAAGAAGACCACAACCUCUGAUGAAUCUUCUGGUCAAGGAAUCCCAACGAAAGAAAGGAAAACUUUUGAGAUAUCCACGUACAACAAGUUUCGUUACAGCAAUCAGAUGAAGGGGGAAGUAGUUACCAGCUCAUUCAUCAGUGGAUUAGUUGUGAAUACAUUCAGUUUUCCAAAAACAAUCAAAUUCCUUUCUCUUACUCACAAGAAAGCUUAUCAACAAGGAAGAUUCUCCAUUAACAACAAUAAGGUAGAGGAUUUGAAGAAAAUGGAAGUUUACAUUCAGGGCUAUGAAUCUUUCAACAAAGAAAUGUUCAGUUAGCCAACUAUCACUGAAAUGACUGAUAUUCUUCAUUUAGAUGUAGAAGAUGUGGACUAGAAUAGUUAAUAAACAACACUUACGAUUUUACGGGAUGACUAGUAGCAUGAAAUGACAUGCAAUAUCUAAGAUUUGCUUUAAAAGGAGGAGGAGGAAAGCUCUGUUUCUGCUAUCAUACCAAUAUGAGUGAAAUAUUAGUUGCUUUUCUACAAGUGAAGUGCAUUUUCUUAUUGAUUGUUCCAUGGAAAUAAAGAAAAGUAGUAGAGUUCAUAAAGGUGAUUUAUUACAGAAACAACACAUGCAAAAGUUUUUAAACCUGUUAUAUAAUCAAGCAUGGACUAAGAGAUAAAACAGUGUGUCAGUACAUUGGGAAAAUAUGUCAUUUACACAUAUAAUAUGUACAGAUCUGUUAAAAACAAUGUACUCCUGUGCAGUUACAUUGAUUGUUAAACUUUACUAGUGUUCAAUAACUGUUAUCCAAAAAGUUGUUCCAUAUAAAGAGAUAUGGUUGUCAAUGUAUUUUUAAUUUUUCACUUUUAGCACUUACUUUAGCAUAUACGUUUCCUGUGCUCUAUUGAGGUCUAGAACUAGCAUCACUAUUUAGACUAGUAUUCAUCUGCAACUUUUCACCUAUAUGUCUUUGCUUUUUGAUAUUAGGUACUGUUCAAUAUGCCCACAUAUUGGAGAGGUAGGCUUUUGAUCAGCUGAAGCUUUCAGAUAUGUUAAAGCAAUGAGAAGCUGUGAUAUUUCGGGCUUUCUCUACAGAUCUGUUGCAUAUACACUUCUCGGGUUUGCUGUGGUGUCAUAUUGUGCAAAUCCUACAAUAUUUCAUUGAUACAACUGUUCGGUGGUAGAUGCUGUUGUCACUGGUACAAGAUGCAAAUGCUGAUAAUCGUGCAGAUGCAUUGAAAUUUAAUAGGCCAGAAACAGGGAAUACGCAUGCACAGGAAGAUGCUCACAGUUGGAGGAAAGCAAUGCUCAAAGAGGCCCCUGCUGGGAGCUGCAGAAAGCCUUACACUCAUACACCAUGGGCAAGGCCUGUGCUGCCAGACGUGCCUGUGGUUAAAAGCUGAAUUAAAUCUUAGCUGUGCACUUUGUUGAGUCAUGAAUUGAAAGUCAUUAUUUCUCCUCUUUUAAUUAACAGCAGCCACUGCUGGGUUCUAGAUGGUACUUAAUUUAAAACCUUCAUCCCUGUUGAAAAGAUUGUCCGCUGUGCAGGUACUUACGGCCUCCUUAAGAACAGUCCUAGAAAGAUGACACUGAGGAUAGAACUUCAGUCUUCUUGUAAAAUGUGUGAUGCCCUGUGCCCAGGCAAUGCUCCACUACUGCUGAUUUAUCAGGUUGCCCCAGGCAUGUACAAAGAUGGUAUUCAACACAACACCCUUGCACGGUGUGGCACGUCUGCUCAAUAUAAGAUUUCCCACAUUGGCAUGUGAUCUUAUAUACACUACAUUUCCUAAGGUCAAGAUCAUCUUUGACCAAACACAACAUAUUUCUCAAUUUUGCUGGUGGCCGGAAAACACACUUAAUAUCGUGUCUCUUAAGGAUUUUUUUCUAUUCUUGAAGAGCAUGUGGCAGCACAGUCUUUGCCCACAGUGCAUGCACAAAAGGCCUUGCUGCGACUCCUUGCAGGGGACACUUUGUGCACCGCUUUCCCCCAACUACGAAAGUCUUCCUGCAUACAUGUAUUGCCUGCUCCUGGUCUUAUAAAUUUCAAUGCCAAUGCGCAAUUAUCAUUGGUCACAUCUUGUAACAGUGAAAACAAAAUCUAUCACCACCUGAAGAUGUCAGACUGUCAUAUCAACAAAAUAUUGUGGGAUUUGCACAGUAUGAUCUGGCAGUAAACCCGAGAAGUAUAUUUGCAAUGAGAAGUUAUUUAUCACUAUAUUUAGGAGUAGACAUGGGUUUUGUACUGAUAAUGCGUUUGUUGAUGCAUUAUUCAUUUAGACUGUUUAAUAAUUUCUGGUAUUCUUGCAUUGACUAGAAUUAUUUAGUUCUUGCCCCGUUCUUACAAAUUGGUCAAGUGAUGUGUAUUUAUUUGUUUAAUAGCUUUUCAGAUUCUUUCAGUUAUUUACUUUGGACCACCCACUUUUUCCCCCCAAUUUAAACUUCAGACAUGAGUAGACUAUGGACAUGUGUACUAGAUUUUCUUCUUUAAAUUGGAUUGUAAUAAAUUUUUAUUGCUUUGUGUUGUGUCAAUUAUGUUAUAUAUACCUCAUAAUGUUCUUGUAUCCUGGUUAUUGUAUCAGUUCAUGUAACAGAUUUGGUACACUAUUAUUGUGUGUAAUGACACUAUGUUAAGUAUGAAGUAGUAUGUUGCACUUCACAUAUUUUUAAAAUGUUGUCAUGUAUUGACAGUUUUUCUGACAACAGUCGGUGCCAUGUGACAUCAAUAUUACUUUACUGUUUGGGUUGUUAUCAUCGUCAUAUUUUGUUCAUGCAUAUUGUAUUAAGGUUAUAAUUGUUUUAUUAUAUGACACUACUUAUUUCGAUGUGUUAGCUAUCAUGUUUGUAACUUUGGUAUGUAAUUUCUUUGGUCAUGUAUCUCUCACACCUAUUUGGUCCCAUCUGUAAUAGUAGCAUUGAGAUUUUUUUCUCUGCCAUUUAAUGGGACAUAAUGUUUCACUUUUGAAAAUUUCAUUCUUCUGGAUCUACACUGUAAGUUUGGCUGUACUGGAGAAGUUCCUCAUAAAUAGAAUUACGUAUGACAUAUGAAGUCUUUAUUGUUUUCUUUUGUAAAUAACACAAAGAACUAUUUUUAUAUAUUGUCUUGCUUUUCUUUGAUUCUACAUUCUGUUUCCUUUGCUUUAUGUUGAUGAAGUUUCAUGGACAAUGUUUGAGGAUCAAUGUAUGUUGUAAUAAAUAAGAAAUACAACACA